GACGAACGCUGGCGGCGUGCUUAACACAUGCAAGUCGAACGAUGAACCCGGAGCUUGCUCUGGGGGAUUAGUGGCGAACGGGUGAGUAACACGUGGGCAACCUGCCCCAGACACUGGGAUAACUUCGGGAAACCGAAGCUAAUACCGGAUACGACCACUUCAGGCAUCUGAUGGUGGUGGAAAGUUUUUCGGUCUGGGAUGGGCCCGCGGCCUAUCAGCUUGUUGGUGGGGUAAUGGCCUACCAAGGCGACGACGGGUAGCCGGCCUGAGAGGGCGACCGGCCACACUGGAACUGAGACACGGUCCAGACUCCUACGGGAGGCAGCAGUGGGGAAUAUUGCACAAUGGGCGCAAGCCUGAUGCAGCGACGCCGCGUGAGGGACGAAGGUCUUCGGAUUGUAAACCUCUUUCAGCAGGGACGAAGCGAAAGUGACUGUACCUGCAAAAGAGCACCGGCUAACUACGUG
rnacentral:rRNA from 1 species